rnacentral:misc_RNA from 1 species
UAUAUAUAUAUAUAUAUGCACAUGAUGCUGAAGUGUAUAAUUGGAAUUACCUUUUUUGUCUUCACUUUUGUUAUUAUUAUUGGUGAGAAGACAAAGUGUAAGACAUUUUUCUUGUAUAUUACAUCGCUUUGAAUUUAAUACCUCAGUGUGUGUCUGUGUCUCUCGCUCACUCUUCCUAGAACACAGUUGCUUAUUUCGUUCUUUGCCAAUGAACUUUGAAAUUCAGGUGCGGAAGUCAAUGUGUCGAA